UACGGGGGGGGGCACGCGUUGUUCGGAAUUACUGGGCGUAAAGGGCUCGUAGGUGGCCAACUAAGUCAGACGUGAAAUCCCUCGGCUUAACCGGGGAACUGCGUCUGAUACUGGAUGGCUCUGAGUUUGGGAGAGGGAUGCGGAAUUCCAGGUGUAGCGGUGAAAUGCGUAGAUAUCUGGAGGAACACCGGUGGCGAAGGCGGCAUCCUGGACCAACACUGACGCUGAGGAGCGAAAGCCAGGGGAGCAAACAGG
rnacentral:rRNA from 1 species